AGGACGAACGCUGGCGGCGUGCCUAACACAUGCAAGUCGAACGGAGCCCGCAAGGGUUCAGUGGCGAACGGGUGCGCAACACGUGAGGAACUUGUCCAUCGGCGGGGGAUAGCCGGCCCAACGGCCGGGUAAUACCGCGUACGCCGUCCGGAGCGCAUGCUCUGGCCGGGAAAGCAGCAAUGCACCGAUGGAGAGCCUCGCGGCCUAUCAGCUAGUUGGUGGGGUAAUGGCCUACCAAGGCGACGACGGGUAGCUGGUCUGAGAGGAUGACCAGCCACAUUGGGACUGAGACACGGCCCAGACUCCUACGGGAGGCAGCAGUGGGGAAUAUUGCGCAAUGGGCGAAAGCCUGACGCAGCGACGCCGCGUGUGGGAUGACGGCCUUCGGGUUGUAACCACUGUCGCGAGGGACGAAGAUCUGACGGUACCUCGAAAGGAAGCACCGGCUAACUCUGCGCCAGCAGCCGCGGU
rnacentral:rRNA from 1 species